ensembl:lncRNA
AUGGAGCCCUUGAACUUUCUAACGACUGAAGAGUUGCUGUUUUUUCUCCACCGGAAAAAGACGGAGAUUUCGUGCAUCGAGCAACCGCACAGACUCCUCACUCAGCUGCGCGACCACGAUCUGGUUCCGGAGAAACUUUUUGAGAAUGUAAAAAAGAUGCGUUCUCGUGAGCAGAAGGAGAAGGGCAUCUAUGAGGUUCUGGACUGGGUGGAGAAAAAUAAACCACAGUACAUGCAUCAGUUCUGGCGCUGUGUGUUUGAAGACCAUAUCCUGCAGCUCUACCCAACGCUACGCAUGCUCAGAAAAAAUCUGCUGGACGGCACUUUCAAAUUUGAUGAGAAACAUCCAGAUGUUGAGACACCAGCAGAGGAGGAAAAGAGUGAAGGAAAGGCAGAGAAAGUGAAGGAGAAGAACUACAAAAGAAAGAGAAGUAAAGAUGAUAGAAGUAGUGAGGAUAGUGAUGAUCUUGGUUCUUCCUCUGCUUCUACACCCAGUCGGAAGGAACCAGCGUCUCUUGUGAAGAAAGGAGACAAGCAGGAGAUUUGGAAGUGGCCUGUUUAUAAAACGCAUCUGCCUGUAACCUGUGGGGAUAAAGAAGGCACUCUCUAUCGGGUCAAAAUGCCCAGAGGGGAAAAGUGUAUUUUGUCUCAAGGACGCUGGUUCACCCCAAAUGAUUUUGAAAGGUUUGCGGGGAAGGAAAAGUGCAAAAACUGGAAACUCAGCAUCCGCUGCGGAAACACACCACUUAAGAAACUCAUAGAAGUAAAUAAUGCAAGCACUUACAGAUUGUUGGUAUUUUGGGGAUCUAUAUUUAAAAAAAAAAUAUUAGAGUCUCAUGAGAUUAGAGGCAGAGUUGAGGAGGAAGAAGAAGACGUGGCAGAUCUGUCUGUUUUCCAGGCUCCUUCUUUACCAGUCACCUGUGUUUCACUUACUGGGACUUUAUACAAAUACAGGUUUGCAACAGGGAUACGUGGGAAGUGUAUACGUACUGAGGAAAAAUGGUUCACUCCGGAGGAAUUUGUAAAGCAGGAACCGACUCUUACAGAUGGGCACUGGAAGAAAGAUAUUCUGUGCCAUGAAAAAAUGCUCAACUUUUUAAUCAAGGUAGCAAAUGGGAGAGAUACUCAAGAGGAAGAUAACAAUGAUGACGAGUGUUACGUGUGUCACUCUAGGGGGGAUCUUGUGUGUUGUGACGAGUGUCCACGAGCUUUUCAUUCACAAUGUCACCUACCAGCUGUACAUGGAGACUCACCUGGGGAAUGGAUUUGUACCUUUUGCGUGUUUAGAACCAGUCAACAGUGGCGUGUCUCCAGUAACAUGUCUGAACAAGAGGCUCUCGAUGCCCCAGUGUCUCAGUACAGAUUGGUGCCCAGAUACUCUGAGUUCAUAUCUCAGCCGAUGUGGCUGGACAGAAUAAAGCAGAAGUUGGAAAGUGGAGAGUAUCAGACGGUACGAGCAUUCGUCUCAGACUUUCAGCUCAUUUUCAGCAACUGCAGAACGUUCAAUAGGGACAAUGUUUUUGGCCGAAUGGGUGCCAGGCUGAAGAAAAUGUUCGAGGAAGAGUUCAAGAAAAUCUUCAGUAUCCAAUAA